rnacentral:lncRNA from 1 species
UCAAGGUCAAACAAUCAAAAACAGAAGUGAGAUGAAGAUUGGAAGUCAAGAGAUGAAUAACAUAUUUUUGGCAUUUUUUAAUAUUAAAAAUAAACUUGAAUUAAAAUAUUAAAGAAAGGUCAAACUUCAAAAUCACUUCAAAUCAACCUUGAAAGGUCCAAGUGAUUUAUCCUAAGUUCAACAAGGUCAAACAAAGUUUGACAAAAAAUUUCAGCAUUUU